UCCCUGAUGGCUCAGAUGGUAAAGAAUCUGCCUGCAAUGUGGAAGACCCAGGUUCGAUCCCUAGUUAGGGAA
rnacentral:tRNA from 1 species